UAUGGCAGAAUAGUGCAAUGAAUUUAAGAUUCAUAAAUAAAGAAAAAUCUUUUAUUAGAA
rnacentral:tRNA from 1 species